rnacentral:lncRNA from 1 species
AGGAGGAAGGGGCGGUGCUGGGGGCGCCCAAGCCUUGCGCAUCAGCUCGGGAACCGCUCCGCGCUGCGUGUGGGCCGAGUGGAGUGGUGUCCGGCCAGCCUCGUGCUCGCCCUGCCAGGGUUCUGCCCUGCCAGGGUUCUGCCCCGCGGACCGUUGGACUCCCAGAGCCUGGUACCCACCGCCCAGAGCGGCUUGGGCUCACCGAUUCUAACCCUAGUCCGUUCAGCCGUGGUUCUGCGUGCUCUCCACAGAAGGGUUUCAAACGGGAGCUUAGAGGGGAACUCUUAAGGUUCUUUCCCCUAAAUUAUGACUCUGGAUUUGUUAAAACCCUAAGGUGGCAAUGGCGGCGUUGAGCCCAGAUGUCAGGUUCCGAGAAUAAACGUGUGCCAGUGAACACUCCCCCGUACCCUCGACCCAGCUCGGUACAGCCUCGUCUCCGGAAAGGCACAAAUCGGGCCUUGUGCUUAAAUGGAGUAUCUGCUUCUAUACAGUGACCCUGACGCACAUCAAAGAUCCUGCUUUGACUCCUUAGACUUAAGAUCAGAACAUGUCUGCUCAAAAAUUUCAGACCUACUCCCAAGAACUCACAUCCCCUCUUCUAUGUCUUCAAAACAGAAAAAAAGGAAAGACUUAUCUGGGAAGGAAACUUGAACUGAACAUUUAACAUCUAUUAAUUUUGGCGUUGGUGACUCUAUUCUUGUGUAAAUAAAUCUAUUAAUCACAAUAAUAAAGGAGGUGUUCACGUGGAGUUUAGGGACUUUUAUUAAGCAAAAAUAAAUUGAUAAGUCAUAGGAAAG